GCCGCGUGCAGGAUGACUGCCCUAUGGGUUGUAAACUGCUUUUAUACGGGAAGAAACCACCCUACGUGUAGGGUGCUGACGGUACCGUAAGAAUAAGGACCGGCUAACUCCGUGCCAGCAGCCGCGGUAAUACGGAGGGUCCGAGCGUUAUCCGGAAUCAUUGGGUUUAAAGGGUCCGUAGGCGGGCCGUUAAGUCAGGGGUGAAAGUCUGCGGCUCAACCGUAGAAUUGCCUUUGAUACUGGCGGUCUUGAGUCAUGGUGGGGUUGCCGGAACAUGUGGUGUAGCGGUGAAAUGCAUAGAUAUCACAUAGAACACCGAUCGCGAAGGCAGGUGACCAACCAUGUACUGACGCUGAUGGACGAAAGCGUGGGUAGCGAACGGGAUUAGAUACCCCGGUAGUCCACGCCGUAAACGAUGGAUACUAGCUGUGGGGACAUUGUCUCCGUGGCCAAGCGAAAGUGAUAAGUAUCCCACCUGGGGAGUACGUUCGCAAGAAUGAAACUCAAAGGAAUUGACGGGGGCCCGCACAAGCGGUGGAGCAUGUGGUUUAAUUCGAUGAUACGCGAGGAACCUUACCAGGGCUUAAAUGCAGGCUGCAUAAGCUAGAGAUAGCUUUUUCUUCGGACUGCCUGCA
rnacentral:rRNA from 1 species